rnacentral:rRNA from 1 species
GUCUUUUAUCAUGCUACCUUGGAUUCAUCUUGUCUCUGUUUUUGGAAGCUAAGUAGGAUUGGGCCUGAUUAGUAUUUGAAUGGGAUAAAGCCUUUUUAAAAUUCAGGUUAUAGAUGAGU